UCCCCGUUCCUGAGUAGCCUUUUUAACGGAAGCGUAAUCGGAGAGGCCGGGCCGUGGCUGUGGGCAGCGGCCACAUCGUCGGGCGCCUCGGGCUGCUGACCCAGCGCUGCUUGCCUUACCUGUCUGAGCUUCUCAGGGCCCUCCGCGAAGCCUGCCGGGAAGGAGGAGGCCGAGGCCUCGCCGCAGAGCCCCUGGUGCACGGUGCACGCUGCUGACAUGCGCACUAGGGUUUGGGAGGCCCUGCUCGAGCUGCCGCUCCUGCCGCUGCUGGCGUAAAGCCAUCUGCUGACCUUCAAACUUCAAGGACGGGCCGAGUCCACGCGGCCAGGAGCGGGGGCGGCGGUGUCCUGCCUUCGGGCCCUGCCGGCGGGUGGAUCCCGCAGAUGGGAACGUUGCUCCCUGCGCAGCGUGCAUGCGCACCAGGACCGCGGGAGCCCCCGCUUGAAGGGAAGACGACGGCACCCACGGUGGGCACAACUGCGGGGGUGCCUCCGUAAUCUGAAUAAGAGAGUCCACACUGCCAAGGCACACUGAACAUGCGUCAGAUACUCGGGUGCCACGGAAAUGGAUAUUCUUCAUGAAGAUGCAGAGGUGAUCCUUCAUGGUCAGAUGUCUGGGUCACAUAAAACGCAUGUUUUCCAUCUAGUUACCGUGCAGCAUUACUGGAGAAGUUAGAAAGGACACUAAUCACCUGACACUUGAAGAUCAAGACUGGGUUAUGGACGAUGCCUUCUUUACACAAAAGAAUUGAAGCAUGAGGAGGAAUCUAGGCAGAAGUGAGGACAGGAAGCCCUUCUAAAUCAUCUUAGGAGCACUUCAGGAUUUAUACACUUGUAGAAUAUGACCACUGAAGGCCAGUGAAGAGAUGAUCUCCAACCCCAUCCUUUUUCAGAUAAGGAAACUCAUACAGAGAGGUUGCAGCAACAGUCCCAAAACACAGGGUUGUAACUUAUGGCAGAAGGUGGUUCAUGCUUCCUGCAGGUGUUAAAUGACCAAAGGCUUUGAACACAUGGGCUUAUAGUUUUAUAUUGUGUGGUCACAGCCAUGGUGCUUCUAGAACACUAUGAGAAUGGCUUUCACGUUAACCACUCGUGAGUCAAAUAAUGUCAUAUGUGCAGGAAAUAUAAUGCUUUACUAUGUCCUUGAUGAGAUCCAACCUUACAAUUUGUAAAUAGGCCCAACAUGGCUAUUAUAUGAUUACGAGUCAAUUUCAAGGAUUGAUUUUAGAGAUGGAUUUAGUAAUAUCUGUGACAUUUGUGGAACAUGGGGCAUGUUAAGGAAGACGUUGAACAUUUGGGACAGACUUCUGCUAAAGGCGUAAGGAAGGCACAGAAUCAUGGACAUGGAAGCUGAGAGUCUGCCUAAUGAACUUAAGGCUGCAGAAUGAUGUCUUCUCUCUCUUUGAAUAAGAGCAAAGAAAAUACCUUCCAAAUAAGGACUCCUAGAUUUUGGAGUUUGCAUCCAUCCUGCAUUCAUCACAUUUAUUUUACAUCUGACCCCAACUGUUUGCCUAAAUUAGAUUGAAAAUUAAGGAGCAAAAAAAAAAAAAAGAAAAGAAAAGAAUAUUAAGGAGCAAAGGAUGCCCGCAGCAAAGGAACUGCACAUUUUUGGAAGUUUGAGCAAAACAGCAGAUGAAACAUCAGCUGGGCAUCGUGAGCUCGGACUCAUUAAAGCAGGCUGGGAGUCACUAAGAGAAAUAGGCCUAAUCUGUGCAAGAACAGUGAAGACUUAAUUUGUGAGGUAUCCUGGCAUGAACAGAGUUUUCUGCCCCCAGUCUUUGGAAAGUUUCACAGGCUGGGCACCUCUCCUCCACAGCCAACAAUGAUGUUUUGUGUCUUCAUCCCGGCUAAAGGGCCUGGCACACAAACAGCCCAGCCUAUUCAUUCCUGGAGCAAUUUUACAUAUGCGAGACCGAAGCCAAGAUGAAUGUCUUCUUCCCGAUGUGCUCAAUUCAACCACAUUCUGGAAAUAGAGAAAACGGAAGAGCAAUGAUCAUCAGAAGGCAAGACGGUGAUUGUUAAAAGCCAACUCUAUUUUUAUCUCCAGCACCUUGCUGAAAAAUCGAUCUGGAGGCCAGCAACAGAGCAUUCAGUGUCUGCGGAAGGCCCGCUCCCUGCUUUGAGGACAGCCGUCUUCUCACUGUGUCCUCACACGGAUGGAGCUGCUGAGGUUUGCCAGGCAUCCAAGACCUUGCUCUCGACGCAUAACCUCUGAGCCCCAUGCAGCCCGCAGCAAGAGACCCAAGGCUGUUCUCAAAACAGUGCACCUGCUUAAGCCAUCUGUGAGUCCAAACAGAUCCAAUUUCCCUUGCACUUCAUUUAUACUAACAACAAUCACAUGGGUGAAGUUGAAUUCUUCAAUCAAGGCAUCGAUGGGGACAUAACUGGAUCAACCCCAAGUAAUCUACACAGAUAGUGUGCGUAAAAACAUUUAUAUGCAGAAAUCCACUGAAAUCUUCUACUGCUUCGCUCAUUUCAGAAAUGAGGAAACUAAAGCACCUGAUCACAUAAGGUGACCUGCCUCUUAUAAGGUCACUGGAAGACUUACAGACUCAAUGAAAAAUAUUCUACAACAUCCACAUAUAAUUGCUACUCAACCCAGUUUUCAUCUGUUAAAUAUGUCCAUUUGAGAAGGGCAUAUUAGCAUUAGCUACAUCCUGAAUAGAUCAUAUCUUUUAAGAUCCCGUGCUUUAAAAAAAAAAAAAGGUGAUGGUGCCUGCAGUUGAAAGUACCGUGAUAAUAUGCCACUGGGUAAGUAUUGUUCAAGAGUAAACCAACCUUCCUGACCAUUCAUUUAUUAAGUCAGAUACUUAAGUUCUAAUUUGGACAAAUUAGCUAGUAGAAUUACUCUAUCCUUUGUACUCAAUAUCUGGGAUAUAUUUCUAUGACUGUCUUUAUCCUGAGGGUUACAAUAAAGCUUUGGUAAUGUCCUGAAUCUUGA